rnacentral:rRNA from 1 species
AUUGAACGCUGGCGGCAUGCCUUACACAUGCAAGUCGAACGGUAACGGGCCUUCGGGUGCCGACGCGUGGCGAACGGGUGGGUAAUACAUCGGAACGUGCCCGAUCGUGGGGGAUAACGAGGCUAAAGCUUUGCUAAUACCGCAUACGAUCUACGGAUGAAAUCAGGGGACCGCAAGGCCUUGCGCGGACGGAGCGGCCGAUGGCAGAUUAGGUAGUUGGUGGGAUAAAAGCUUACCAAGACGACGAUCUGUAGCUGGUCUGAGAGGAUGAUCAGCCACACUGGGACUGAGACACGGCCCAGACUCCUACGGGAGGCAGCAGUGGGGAAUUUUGGACAAUGGGCGCAAGCCUGAUCCAGCCAUGCCGAGUGCAGGAUGAAGGCCUUCGGGUUGUAAACGGCUUUUGUACGGAACGAAAAGCCUUCUUUUAAUACAGGAGGGUCAUGACGGUACCGGAAGAAUAAGCACCGGCUAACUACGUG